GACGAACGCUGGCGGCGUGCUUAACACAUGCAAGUCGAACGGAAAGGCCCUGCUUUUGUGGGGUGCUCGAGUGGCGAACGGGUGAGUAACACGUGAGUAACCUGCCCUUGACUUUGGGAUAACUUCAGGAAACUGGGGCUAAUACCGGAUAGGAGCUCCUGCUGCAUGGUGGGGGUUGGAAAGUUUCGGCGGUUGGGGAUGGACUCGCGGCUUAUCAGCUUGUUGGUGGGGUGGUGGCUUACCAAGGCUUUGACGGGUAGCCGGCCUGAGAGGGUGACCGGCCACAUUGGGACUGAGAUACGGCCCAGACUCCUACGGGAGGCAGCAGUGGGGAAUAUUGCACAAUGGGCGGAAGCCUGAGGCAGCAACGCCGCGUGCGGGAUGACGGCCUUCGGGUUAUAAACCGCUUUCGCCUGUGACGAAGCGUGAGUGACGGUAAUGGGUAAAGAAGCACCGGCUAACUACGUG
rnacentral:rRNA from 1 species